rnacentral:rRNA from 1 species
UGGGCAACCUGCCCCUAGCUCUGGGAUAACUGCGGGAAACUGUAGCUAAUACCGGAUGUGACACGAGACUGCAUGGUCUUCGUGUGGAAAGAUUUAUCGGCUAGGGAUGGGCCCGCGGUCUAUCAGCUUGUUGGUGGGGUAAUGGCUCACCAAGGCGACGACGGAUAACCGGCCUGAGAGGGCGACCGGUCACACUGGGACUGAGACACGGCCCAGACUCCUACGGGAGGCA